UGGUGGUUAUGGCGGAGCGGCUGCACCCGAUCCCAUCCCGAACUCGGCCGUGAAACGCUCCAGCGCCGAUGGUACUGCAUCUUAAGGUGUGGGAGAGUAGGUCGUCGCCA
rnacentral:rRNA from 1 species